UAGGGAAUUUUUGUCAAUGGGGGAAACGAACAAGCACGCCGCGUGGAGGAUGAAGGCCUUCGGGUCGUAAACUCCUGUCGGAGGGGACGAAAGCGGUUGGGGUUAAUACCCUCAGUCGCUGACGGUACCCUAUGAGGAAGCCUCGGCUAACUUCGUG
rnacentral:rRNA from 1 species